GAAGUUGGAUUCGCUAGUAAUCGCGCAUCAGCCAUGGCGCGGUGAAUACGUUCCCGGGCCUUGUACACACCGCCCGUCACACCAUGAGAGUUGGGAAUACCCGAAGCCUGUGAGCUAACGAAAGAGGCAGCAGUCGAAGGUAGAAUCAAUGAUUGGGGUGAAGUCGUAACAAGGUAAC
rnacentral:rRNA from 1 species